rfam:Arabidopsis lyrata subsp. lyrata unplaced genomic scaffold ARALYscaffold_5, whole genome shotgun sequence.
GAAUACGAUCAUAAUAACAUUAAUGUACCAGAUCUCAUCAAAACUCCGCUACUAAACAUAUAUACUUGGAAAAGAGUAGUACUAAGAUGGAUGACCUCAAGAAGUUCUCAUAUUGCAUUCC